AGUUUGUGGAAGUUGCCGUAUAUUGCAACAACAUUUGAAGGAUACAUCAGCAAUUGUUCUAAAUGAACAGAGAAGGCCAGUAGUUCAAUAAAAA